GCUUGAACCCCAUAGCUCAGUUGGUAAAACAUGAGACUCUUCAUCUCAGGGUUGUGGGUUUGAGCCCCAUGCUGAGCA